UACGUAGGGGGCUAGCGUUGUCCGGAAUCAUUGGGCGUAAAGCGCGUGUAGGCGGUCCGGUAAGUCCGCUGUGAAAGUCGGGGGCUCAACCCUCGGAUGCCGGUGGAUACUGUCGGGCUUGAGUACGGAAGAGGCGAGUGGAAUUCCUGGUGUAGCGGUGAAAUGCGCAGAUAUCAGGAGGAACACCGGUGGCGAAGGCGGGUCUCUGGGCCGAAAUUGACGCUGAGGAGCGAAAGCGUGGGGAGCAAACAGG
rnacentral:rRNA from 1 species